GACGAUGACGAGUCUGACGGAGCACGCCGCGUGAGUGAUGAAGGUUUUCGGAUCGUAAAACUCUGUUAUUAGGGAAGAACAAAUGUGUAAGUAACUGUGCACAUCUUGACGGUACCUAAUCAGAAAGCCACGGCUAACUACGUGCCAGCAGCCGCGGUAAUACGUAGGUGGCAAGCGUUAUCCGGAAUUAUUGGGCGUAAAGCGCGCGUAGGCGGUUUCUUAAGUCUGAUGUGAAAGCCCACGGCUCAACCGUGGAGGGUCAUUGGAAACUGGGAAACUUGAGUACAGAAGAGGAAAGUGGAAUUCCAUGUGUAGCGGUGAAAUGCGCAGAGAUAUGGAGGAACACCAGUGGCGAAGGCGACUUUCUGGUCUGUAACUGACGCUGAUGUGCGAAAGCGUGGGGAUCAAACAGGAUUAGAUACCCUGGGUAGUACAAAAAA
rnacentral:rRNA from 1 species